UGGUCGAUGAUGACUAGACCACUGCGCAAUCUGAGGUCACCGUCUGGACCCUGGUGAUGGAUUGUGUUCUGAGCUUGGACUGAGACCA